ensembl:lncRNA
AUUGGACCCAGAACUUUACGCCCAUUUAAAAAACAAAUUUUUUUUUUGAAAUAGAAUCUCACUAAGUUGACCAGGCUGACCUCACACUUGCAGCCCUCCUUCACAAGUAGCUGGGGUUACAGGCAUGUGCCACCAUGCCCAGCAAGGCUGCUGCUGACACUAAUGAAGAGAAGCAUCAGUCUCGCAACUGUGGUGUCAUUAAGUCAAGCACGAUCUUUCUCAGAGUGACCCACAGAGCUAGAACUCUGGAGCUCAAGUGAGGAAACCAGCCUAGUCCCACCACAAGGUCACAGUGCUCAACCAGGGGGCGGGACAAAGGAGAUGGACAGCCCUGCCUGACAGCAAGCCACUUCUCUUUCUCUGACAGCCCAGAGCAAUCGUUUCAUGUGAAGCCGCCUUGAUGGCACGUGUCUGCUUCACAUGGUCAAAGACAUGGGAAAGCAGCUGAGCCACUGGGGAAUUAGUUCCAGGAAUGUCACUAAAGUUAUCAGACUGGGAACAAGUCUCUGAACCAAGACCAUUUUCUCAGCUUUUGGAGGAGUCAGCGCCCUGCCACAAAAUUGAACAGUAGGGAGAUACUGCCUUCCUCCUAGCAAAUCUUCAAAAGAAAUGUUUGAAUGAUCCUCACUGUUGGAAAGAGUUUGGGGGAAAUGGGCAUUCUCAUGUAUGCUGGUAAAUGGACCUAACUACCUGGAGAACAGCCUGACCACAUGGAGACAGCCAAAGAGACAUGAAUGCCAGACGGUGUAGAUCCAAAGGACCUCUCAUCUAUGGCUGGUGGAAGUGUAAAUUGAGUCCCUAGAGAAAUACUCGCCUCGAACAGCUGAAGAAUUCUGGAUUAUCCGUCAAGAUAUAGCUCAAACAUCAGCUUCUGUGGAAAUGCUUCCCCCACUUUGCCAAGCAACAAGCCCAGCUUCACCUCUUCGGUUCCUGAUUAAUAAAUGAUUUGUGUACCUAUUGCACUGCCUCUCUGGCUGCCAGAGCUAAGCUCAGCGGUCUGUGCACCUUUGGGUUUCCCCUCUUCCUAUCCCUCUCCCCAUCAUCUCUUGCCCAUGUGCCUUGCCCUUAUGACUGCCGUGUGGUCAGUGCUAAUUAAAUGUUAAUUUUGGAACACAGAGCUAUAGGGAUUUUGGGUAUGACCUACUAGAAAUCCCAGAGCUUAGAAUCAAAC